GAGCGUUCCCAGCAGAAGCAGCCAGCUUUUUGCCAGGCUGUGUGAUAGCGAGCUGUGAUAUGCUGCCUUGGGAUUUCUGGCGAAAAUACAAGCGAAGCAACCCAGGAAAAGCUUAAGCCUUGACUUGGAGAAAAAAACCACCGUCCUACCAGUGGGAGUCCCAUCAACAGCAGUGUGCUGGGUGAGAUGGACUCACCAUGCCUUAUGUAAUUGAUGGCAGGGCUGGAUUUACACAGCGAUGCAGUAGGAGGCAGUGUGCUGAGCACCCUGUUGAUAUCCCAGGCAGGCUGGGUGCCACGGGCUGCCUGAGGGCAUAAAUACCCGAGGAACAAUUCUUGUCAAUGGUUUGCAUUCAGGUCUAUGAUUGGAUAUAUCCAUCGGUACAUGACGG
rnacentral:lncRNA from 1 species